GACGUAGGGCGCGAGCGUUGUCCGGAUUUAUUGGGCGUAAAGAGCUCGUAGGCGGCUUGUUACGUCGACUGUGAAGACCCGCGGCUCAACCGUGUGGCUUGCAGUCGAUACGGGCAGGCUAGAGUUCGGUAGGGGAGACUGGAAUUCCUGGUGUAGCGGUGAAAUGCGCAGAUAUCAGGAGGAACACCGGUGGCGAAGGCGGGUCUCUGGGCCGAUACUGACGCUGAGGAGCGAAAGCGUGGGGAGCGAACAGG
rnacentral:rRNA from 1 species